AUGCUCACUUUGGCAGCACACAUACUAACACUGGAACGAUGCAGAGAUUAAUUUGGCCCCUGCGCAAGGAUGGCAUGCAAAUUCACAAAGCGUUCCAUGAAAAG